AAAAACGUGGUCUAUCUAUAUCUGAAAAUGCUGUGCAGCCUGGCUGCACUGCAUUAUAAUGAGAAUGCUAAUCGAGGACAAGCCACCACAUCUUCAGGGGAUCCUCUUUACAAACUGAGCUUUCCAAAAUCCAGGAAGGGAGAGUGCAGAGCCAGACCAGUGAAGACAGACGCUACAUUCCGGUAUGUUGAUGGACAUGAUCAUGGAGAAAGUCUUUGUUGACCCAUCAUCGUAAGGAGACGAGAUUCUGAAGAUAAACAUCCCGCCGGACCUGUCUUCACAAUAUGAGCAUCCAGACAAGGAGGAGGUCAUCGCCAGCUAUGUCUCAAGAUUCAAUCAAGGGGCGGGAGUUUGAAGCCUACAUAUCUUCCAUGGAUGUAAGGAAACUCCCGUCACGACACAUGAGGGGAUCACUAC